rnacentral:rRNA from 1 species
AUUGAACGCUGGCGGAAUGCUCUACACAUGCAAGUCGAACGGCAGCACGGACUUCGGUCUGGUGGCGAGUGGCGAACGGGUGAGUAAUGUAUCGGAACGUGCCCAGUCGUGGGGGAUAACGUAGUGAAAAUUACGCCAAUACCGCAUACGAUCUAUGGAUGAAAGCGGGGGAUCGCAAGACCUCGCGCGAUUGGAGCGGCCGAUAUCAGAUUAGGUAGUUGGUGGGGUAAAGGCCCACCAAGCCAACGAUCUGUAGCUGGUCUGAGAGGACGACCAGCCACACUGGAACUGAGACACGGUCCAGACUCCUACGGGAGGCAGCAGUGGGGAAUUUUGGACAAUGGGCGAAAGCCUGAUCCAGCCAUUCCGCGUGCAGGAUGAAGGCCCUCGGGUUGUAAACUGCUUUUGUACAGAACGAAAAGGUUUCUACUAAUACUAGGAGCUCAUGACGGUACUGUAAGAAUAAGCACCGGCUAACUACGUGCCAGCAGCCGCCGUAA